CACGUCAGUGCGCUUUACUGACGUGGCAACAAAUCACGUCCAUGAGGGGGUGAUAUUUUGCCACGUCAGUAAAGCGCGCUGACGUGG
rfam:Gossypium hirsutum cultivar TM-1 chromosome 18, whole genome shotgun sequence